rnacentral:antisense_RNA from 1 species
UGUACAUCCAUAUGAGCCUCUGCUGCAGCCAAAUCAAUAAUUCUGCUUUCACCUUGCUCAUAAAGAUACUGAAUAAAUCGCUUAGUCAUUAAUACGAGACCAUUCUCAAACCUGACAGAAUGUCGUGCAUCUUCAGUACUAAAUUCAUUAUAUUGCGAUCCGUUAUGAUGCGCAGCCGGUGUGCCUAGCAUGCUAACACCACCACUAUGUUCUAGAGUCUCAAUUCCAUCGUUGCCAAGAGACGGAAUAUGAGGUAGUAAUGCUCCAGAAGCAGGCAUCCCCGUUCCAUCCAUGGUAUGAUGACGGCCAGGACUUCCUCCUCUUCUUUUGUUGGCAUCUGUAGAAUCCCUCCUCCCUCUCAUUCCACCCAAUGGAGUGGUUGAAGUUCUUUUCCUUGCUCUACCCCUGGAGUUAGUUACCGGCCCUGCAUUAGAAAUAUUCAUAGUGUUUGAUGCAGCGAAAGCCGCUGCCGCUGCAAGAAGCUCUGAUUUGUUAUCAGCGCUCAUAUUAUUUCCACCACCAUAGAUCAUUUGUAGAUGUUCCGCAGAAUGAUUAGAUCCGCUAUUAGAGUGGCUCAGAUUUUGGUUAUUUUGUAUAUUUCCAGAGUUAUGGCCCGGAACUAUGGGUGGUAACAGGUUUUGCAAUUGGGAAACGAAUUGAUUUAUAUUUCCCUGAGUACCAUUCGAAUUCCCUGUAGAAGAAACUAGGCUAUUAAGAAGCGUUAUAUUCUGGUCAUUAUUGGAACCUGAACCCAUUAGUAAGGGCAGAAGGUAGGGAAUAGAGCUAGCCAUAUUAUUAUUAUUAUUAUUAUUAUUAUUAUUAUUAUUGUUAUUACUAUUAUUAGUUGUAUCUAUCAAAUUAUUGGGAUCAUGUGAGUUUGACGCAUUAGAGGCGCCCCCUUUAAUUCCAUUAGAAUUGGAUGAAACUGCGCCGUUUAUUAGACCAAGAAGCUCAUUAAUCGUUACCGGGUCCGCUAUUUGUGGAGGAGGAUUUACUGAGGAGCAAUUUACAUCACCGCCAGAAUUUGGAACAAGAUAGCUUAACAAAGAAAGAACGUCCUGAGUAUUUGAACUUGCGUUAUUAUUACAUCCACCGGUACCAUCAUGAAUUAUUUCAGAACCUAUUCCAGAUACAAUGUCUCCACUAUUCCCGGAAUUAGUAGAUGUUGAUGAAGUUCCCAUCAUUUGGAGAUUGUAAGGAACCUCGUUAGUCAUUCUACUAAACAAGCUUUAUAUCGACCUUAUUCUGAAUUUAUCUUUAAAAACUUCUUACGUGGAAAACUACAAUAUAAUAAAAAAUAUAUAAGAGCGGAAGCGGGAUACAAAAUAUAGCGCUUUAUUAUCCUCG